rnacentral:rRNA from 1 species
GACGAACGCUGGCGGCGUGCUUAACACAUGCCAGUCGAACGGAAAGGCCCUGCUUUUGUGGCGUGCUCGAGUGGCGAACGGGUGAGUAACACGUGAGUAACCUGCCCUUGACUUUGGGAUAACUUCAGGAAACUGGGGCUAAUACCGGAUAGGAGCUCCUGCUGCAUGGUGGGGGUUGGAAAGUUUCGGCGGUUGGGGAUGGACUCGCGGCUUAUCAGCUUGUUGGUGGGGUAGUGGCUUACCAAGGCUUUGACGGGUAGCCGGCCUGAGAGGGUGACCGGCCACAUUGGGACUGAGAUACGGCCCAGACUCCUACGGGAGGCAGCAGUGGGGAAUAUUGCACAAUGGGCGGAAGCCUGAUGCAGCAACGCCGCGUGCGGGAUGACGGCCUUCGGGUUGUAAACCGCUUUCGCCUGUGACGAAGCGUGAGUGACGGUAAUGGGUAAAGAAGCACCGGCUAACUACGUG